UACGACGGGUAGCUGGUCUGAGAGGAUGGCCAGCACACUGGAACUGAGACACGGUCCAGACUCCUACGGGGAGGCAGCAGUGGGAAUCUUGCGCAAUGGACGAAAGUCUGACGCAGCGACGCCGCGUGGGUGACGAAGGCCUUCGGUUGCAAAGCCCUGUGGGGAGAGACGAACCGGCAUCUGGCUAACAUCCAGGUGCUCUGACGGUAUCUCCUUAGCAAGCAUCGGCUAACUCUGUGCCAGCAGCCGCGGUAAGACAGAGGAUGCAAACGUUGCUCGGAAUUACUGGGCGUAAAGCGCGCGCAGGCGGUCCCGUAAGUCGGGUGUGAAAGCCCCGGGCUCAACCCGGGAAGUGCACUCGAUACUGCGAGACUGGAGUACUGGAGAGGAGAGCGGAAUUCUCGGUGUAGAGGUGAAAUUCGUAGAUAUCGGGAG
rnacentral:rRNA from 1 species